GACGAACGCUGGCGGCGUGCUUAACACAUGCGAGUCGAACGGAAAGGCCCUGCUUUUGUGGGGUGCUCGAGUGGCGAACGGGUGAGUAACACGUGAGUAACCUGCCCUUGACUUUGGGAUAACUUCAGGAAACUGGGGCUAAUACCGGAUAGGAGCUCCUGCUGCAUGGUGGGGGUUGGAAAGUUUCGGCGGUUGGGGAUGGACUCGCGGCUUAUCAGCUUGUUGGUGGGGUAGUGGCUUACCAAGGCUUUGACGGGUAGCCGGCCCGAGAGGGUGACCGGCCACAUUGGGACUGAGAUACGGCCCAGACUCCUACGGGAGGCAGCAGUGGGGAAUAUUGCACAAUGGGCGGAAGCCUGAUGCAGCAACGCCGCGUGCGGGAUGACGGCCUUCGGGUUGUAAACCGCUUUCGCCUGUGACGAAGCGUGAGUGACGGUAAUGGGUAAAGAAGCACCGGCUAACUACGUG
rnacentral:rRNA from 1 species